ACUACGGGAGGCAGCAGUGGGGGAUAUUGCACAAUGGGGGGAACCCUGAUGCAGCGACGCCGCGUGGGUGAAGAAGCGCCUCGGCGCGUAAAGCCCUGUCAGCAGGGAAGAAAAUGACGGUACCUGAAGAAGAAGCCCCGGCUAACUACGUGCCAGCAGCCGCGGUAAUGCGGAGGGGGCCAGCGUUAUCCGGAUUUACUGGGUGUAAAGGGGGCGCAGACGGCGAUGCCAGCAAGGAGUGAAAGCCCGGGGCCCAACCCCGGGACUGCUCUUGGGACUGCGUGGCUGGAGUGCAGGAGGGGCAGGCGGAAUUCCUGGUGUAGCGGUGAAAUGCGUAGAUAUCAGGAGGAACACCGGUGGCGAAGGCGGCCUGCUGGACUGCAACUGACGUUGAGGCCCGAAAGCGUGGGGAGCAAACAGGAUUAGAUACCCCAGUAGUC
rnacentral:rRNA from 1 species